GAGAGGUGCUGCAUGGCUGUCGUCAGCUCGUGUUGUGAAAUGUUGGGUUAAGUCUCGCAACGAGCGCAACCCCUAUCGUCUGUUGCCAGCAUUAAGUUGGGCACUCUGACGAGACUGCCUGGGUUAACCAGGAGGAAGGUGGGGACGACGUCAAGUCCUCAUGGCCCUUAUGUCCAGGGCUACACACGUAAUACAAUGGCGCGUACAAUGGGAAGCGAACUCGCGAGGGGGAGCAAAUCUCAAAAAGCGCGUCUCAGUUCGGAUUGAAGUCUGCAACUCGACUUCAUGAAGUUGGAAUCGCUAGUA
rnacentral:rRNA from 1 species